AAGGGCAGCACUUUUGGUUGCUAAGAAACUUAAAUGAGAGUCCCGGACAAGACUAUAACUGAUAAGACUCCCAAGAUGUGCAAAGGCAAGCUAUUUUCACUGUGAACAUUAAUGCUGCUGCUUAUAAUUCACAGGUACCCCACAACUCUGGCAUCUCCAGCAUUUUGGGGUCUCCAACACAAUCCAGGCUUCACCUUCAAAGUUUCACACAAUGAUCUCUCAAGACCUCCAUGCAGGGAUUCCCCUGUCACAUGCCUGGCCUUUGCAAUUUUUCUUAACCAUGUAGGAAUGUUCAA